CCACCAAGAACCCAGCUAGGAAUGUAGAGGGUGGGCAGCUGGAACUCAGGUCCGCGCCUGAGGUUUUGGUGGAGAGAUUUGAUGGUGUUGGACUCGGGACCGUGUGUAGCGGUGGAGAUCGUGGUGUCCGAAUAACUUGCCAUGGUCUUAGCUUCAACACACAAGAUCAUCCACUGCAGCCUGCAGGCUUCUGUCUAGUCAAGUCAUGAGGGCUAAGUUGCCCCCACGGCAUGUGGUAUCCUAGUUCCCUGACCAGGGAUCAAACUCAUGUCCCCUGCAAUGGAAGGUGGAUUCUUAACCACUAGACCAUCAGUGAAGUCCCCUUUCUUUCUUUUUUAUUAUAAAAACGCUGUGAUGAAAAUCUUUGUACAUAUAUCUUUGUCUGUAUUUUGGGUUAUUUUCUUAUAGCUUUUUCCUCAAUCAGCAAGCUAAAUGACACAACCAGAGGCUCCAUGACAGUUCCAAGGCACCAUCAAAAGACCAAAAAGUGGCAGUGGCCCGGUUCCUGGAAAUCUCCACUCCUUCCCCAAGAUGCUUCCUAAUACCCACUUGACUUCACACUCCAGGAUGUCUGGCUCUAGGUGAGUGAUCACAUCACUGUGGUUAUCUGGGUCAUGAAGACCUU
ensembl:lncRNA